rnacentral:rRNA from 1 species
UUUGACCUACGGGAGGCAGCAGUGGGGAAUCUUCCGCAAUGGGCGCAAGCCUGACGGAGCAACGCCGCGUGAAUGAAGAAGGUCUUCGGAUCGUAAAGUUCUGUUCUUAGGGAAGAAGUCUUAGGUUGUGAAUAAUGACUUAAGGUGACGGUACCUAUGGAGAAAGCUCCGGCUAACUACGUGCCAGCAGCCGCGGUAAUACGUAGGGAGCGAGCGUUGUCCGGAAUUACUGGGUGUAAAGGGAGCGUAGACGGCUGUGCAAGUCUGGAGUGAAAGGCGGGGGCCCAACCCCCGGACUGCUCUGG